rnacentral:rRNA from 1 species
AGUGAACGCUGGCGGUAGGCCUAACACAUGCAAGUCGAACGGCAGCACAGUAAGAGCUUGCUCUUACGGGUGGCGAGUGGCGGACGGGUGAGGAAUACAUCGGAAUCUACUUUUUCGUGGGGGAUAACGUAGGGAAACUUACGCUAAUACCGCAUACGACCUACGGGUGAAAGCAGGGGAUCUUCGGACCUUGCGCGAUUGAAUGAGCCGAUGUCGGAUUAGCUAGUUGGCGGGGUAAAGGCCCACCAAGGCGACGAUCCGUAGCUGGUCUGAGAGGAUGAUCAGCCACACUGGAACUGAGACACGGUCCAGACUCCUACGGGAGGCAGCAGUGGGGAAUAUUGGACAAUGGGCGCAAGCCUGAUCCAGCCAUACCGCGUGGGUGAAGAAGGACUUCGGGUUGUAAAGCCCUUUUGUUGGGAAAGAAAAGCAGCAGGUUAAUACCCCGCUGUUCUGACGGUACCCAAAGAAUAAGCACCGGCUAACUUCGUG